GACAACAGAACCAACAAGUUCAUCAAUGGCCACUAUUCCGUCUACUGUUUUAAUCUACAAUUUUUUGUGUUAUCAAACUUUUUUUUGAAAUUGUUUUACAUACGCUGGACCAUGUUGGGUGAUCAUGCGAUAACAGAAGAAAGGAUUUGUAUUUCGUGAUUCUCAUAGAGAGUAUUGAGCUAGUCACAAAAUCAAUGAGCAUUGAUUAUAGUCGAUGUAGGUGUCGUAAGCGAUAUGUGAACUUUUUUCUUUCUUUUCCUCUAUAAAGACGAGUCAUAUAAUAUUUCUGAUAGUACGAGCAUCUGUACAUGUGUUUGAUGGGUAGAUGUCGUCCGUGUAUGGGUGUGCAGUGGAAUAUGUCAGUGGGAACACUAAGAGUUGGCUUGGCUGUGUAGUGGAAACACGAAG
rnacentral:lncRNA from 1 species